CAGCAGCCGCGGUAAAACGGAGGGUGCAAGCGUUAAUCGGAAUUACUGGGCGUAAAGCGCACGCAGGCGGUCUGACAAGUCAGAUGUGAAAUCCCCGGGCUUAACCUGGGAACUGCAUUUGUGACUGUAUAGCUAGAGUACGGCAGAGGGGGAUGGAAUUCCGCGUGUAGCAGUGAAAUGCGUAGAUAUGCGGAGGAACACCGAUGGCGAAGGCAAUCCCCUGGGCCUGUACUGACGCUCAUGCACGAAAGCGUGGGGAGCAAACAGGAUUAGAUACCCCUGUAGUCCCUGUCUCUUAUAC
rnacentral:rRNA from 1 species